AGAACGUUUGGCUACGAGCGCCUUGGUACAAUGCUCCCAUGUUUGAUACAUAUGCAACUUCCUAUUACAAAGCUGAAAAUGGUCAAGCAUUGAUGAAAACACUGUGCAGAAUUCCUAUCCUGAAUGAAGGUGCUGCUUGGAGAAGGCUUCUGCUUCUGGAGAUGACGGGAUUCAGCCUGUUCCAUGUUCACCUGGGGAGUUCUGCUGGCUGCUGCUGUCACUGCUGCCAGACUGGCGGCGGCGUCUCCUGCCUUUUAUCAGCACACUCCGGUACACCUGCAGGGAGACAAGAGCAGCACAGCACCUGUGAGUGAUGCGCAGUUGCACAGUCUGGAAGCAACAGUCUGCACCAUACAUCUGCUUUUAGAACACUGUUUGACAUCACAUUGUUUUCUAUAGGGGAAAAUGCAGGCAGCUUCCUACCUGUCAUCCAGUAGGUACUGUUGAUGGAGGUUGUAAGUGAAGAUAAGUUAAAUUACAGGUACAGAAAAAGCUUUCACUAGUGCAAGAUUUGGGUGCGACUGCUAUUUUUAAGGACAGUGGCUCUGAGAAUGCAUCAUUUAAUAUUUAUUAGAUGAUGUCAUUUAUUAAAUGCCUCAGUUCUGCUUCGGGAACGAGGAGAUUUCUAACUGUACUUACGUGACUCUUGGCUUGCGGUUGUGUCCGGUAGCAGCGCAUAAUGUUCUGGAACGACCUGUCUUCCUUUGUAACCUAAGAAUAGUCAGUAUUAGACCUCCUGUGGUAGCUUUUGGUUGUUUUCUUCCCCCACCGUUUGGUUUGCUGAGGUUGUUUUUGGGGGUUGUUAGAGCAAUCUCUGAACUACCAAGCCUUAGAAAACGUGUGUUUUUGUUCAGCUUACCUUGGCCAUUACGUAGAUGGCGCACAUCAGCAGCUGAUCCAGAUGCCUGUCCAUCAUGAUUUCAGGGCAGUGCAUCAGGGAAUACUCAAAACACGUCCAGACUUUUUUCCGCAGCUCAUCAGAUAUAUCCAGUUUGACAGAGAGAUCCCGCAGACGAACACUUGCUAAAUGAUACACCUGAUGGAAGAGAGACAGUGCAGGGACCGCGUCAGCAGUGCUUCUUAUCCAGGUUAGAGCGCAGUUUGGACAUGUGUGCUCUGUGAAACUCGUGCAGAUGAUAAGCUAAUGACAAAUACUGGAACUAUCUUCUGCUUACAAGAAACAGACACUAUUAUACUGGUACUAAUGCUAAAAAAGCAUUUUUUUUUUUAAUUCUGCAAUUCUCCAGAUUAUUUCUUCAAGAUACUCUUGAAGUACAAAAACAGCACCUAUAGAAACCUCUGUAUUGAAUAAACAAGAAUAUUUCAAAAGUGAAUUUCUUUCUUUAAGAGCCUUAAAGAAGAUGGACAUGUUUAAGCAGCUGCUAGCCACAGCUGUAAAUCUACUUCUCAGCUAGUGACAGCUGUACUGUUCAGCUACUCUGACAGUGAGAAAUUUCUGUACAGGAAACCAACCCUUCAGGUAUGCAUCUGAACAAACAAAACAUGUCAGCUUGGAAACUAAAUAUUCUCUUAUUAAUAUUAGAAGUAAGGAAAUAUUUCAGCAUCACAGAAGAGCUACCAAAAUACAAACUAAGCAGGCUAAAAAGUACCUUUCUAAAGAAGAGGGAAAGCGAGCCCAUCUUCCGGGAGCGAGCGGCUGUGGCAGUGAGGUGCUGGGCUGGCCUUGGCUCCCCAGAGGUGAUGUGCUGAACAGUGACCUGUCCUGGGAGCUGCAGCGUUGCCCCUGACACCUGAGUGCUCAGAGUGCCCGUGAGAGCCUGGGCACUGAGGGGCUGAAUGGAGCCAGAGACAGCUUGAGGCUGGGCCCCUACGUUUACCUGCACUGGGAAGAAAGUUAUUCCUCCAUUUUCAUUGGCGAUACCUGUAAUUUAAGGAAGAGUUUGACAUAAGAGCAAGGUGGGGUGGUUUGUUUAGUGUGGAUGGUUGUUUCCUGUUAGAGCUUUUUCUUAAUAGUUCAGUAACACUUAAAUUAGUUGCUUAUAGUUUGUAGCAUACUAUAGAGACAAAAUGUUUUAUGAAAGUACUUGGAACUUCUUACCAUAAGGAGACAGGAAAAUAACGGAAUUGAGCUGAUCUUUAACUGUAAUGUCACUUUCUUCCAGUUGAGGAAGCAAAGGUCACUGCAAUAACCAAGUCGCUAAUCCACAGUCAGUGAACAUCUUUGUGCCCUGUGUCUUGUCUCUAAAUUCCACUGAUACAGUUCUUCCCCACUAUAAAUUCUUAAGCCUGCUUUUCUGCUCUGGGUGUGCUGUUUUCCCCCCACCCCCUGACUGUAUACUAACAUCUGGAUAGAAAUUGGCCUCAUCUGACAGCAGCUCUUCUCUUACCUUGUACAGGAAUGGUCACAGUUUGCCCAUUGUUGGCUGUUACGGUGGCGGUUGCUACUGUAACCAAUGUCUGACCAGGCACUGGAGUUACUGACACUGCUUCAGGAUUCACGUUCUGCACAGGCACCGUAUUUACCACGGGCUGCUGGGAAACUCUGACUGGAGUUCCGUUGUCGGAGGUAUUAUCGUUAUCAACAAACAACCUUCUCCUGGUAGGGUGGGCUGUAGGAGAGCUGUAUCUGUCAUACAGGGUAGUAGGAGAAGAUGAAAUGCCUGUGGAUUUAAAAAAAACCAAAAUCUUAUUGUAAAAUCCCUUAUAAUACAAAUAGAUUUUAAAAAAUGUGAUGAGACCCCAAAUGUGACAACUGGAAGCAUUUAAAAUUAAUGUCUACAUCUGUGGCUUACAGAUUAUGAGAUGACUUGAUCUCAAAUAACACAGUGCUGAAUAUCUUUUCCUCAGAGACUGUAUUAUGCUUUAGUUCCCCAGAAAAAGCCUGAAGCCUCACAGAACUAAACAUACAUUGGAGCUUCUAAUCUGGUGUAACAAAAAAGCUGCUCAGGUGCUACUGAUCAGAACAGAUGUACUUAAACACAUACAUGUGUGUACACAGAUGUCCUUUGUAGAUAUAAGCUCCUGAAACCAGUGACAGAGGACUGUUUUGAUCUGAAAUAACGAAUGUUUCUGUCUUAGACAACUGAUGCGACUAUGCAAGUUACAACAGAAAUAGCAUUUACAAGUGCCUAAUUCAUGCACAAUUGUACAUAAACCACUAGAGCAGCUUCCUUCUGUACGCCAUUCAGAUUUGUAAAUACAGGGCAUGGUGUAAGAGUGAUAAAUACACUGUGCUUAAAAAACAGCUCACCUUUUCCCAGGCCUCCGGUUUCAGCUCGGACCUCAUUUAGUCGUCUUGGUGUCAGUGGAGAACCCACAACACUGUUGGCAGCAGAUCUCUCAAAAUACUGAGGUGGCAUGACCUGAAAUAGUUGUACUGUUAUUAGUGUGUCUGUGGCACAAAUGAUUUUUAGAACUACCAGUCUAUGAAUGUUGAACAGUGAAACUAUACGGAGGAAAAGAAAAAUGAAGAACAUUGAAAAAUUACUGUAAACUUAACUUUAAAACUUCGUAAUGAUUGUACUACUCUAGAAAAUACAAUCCUGUAAUAAUCAUUCUGUGACUGUAAUUAAGAGUCUGUUCUUAACCAGACUCCUGUAGCAGUCUUCUCAAGUGUGACUGUUUCAUACCUCCUCUGUGUUCAUUAUUCACUGUGCUCCUACUCUAAGCAAACACGGGGUGAGAAUCACAUCAGCUGGAUGCCUGUGUUUGGACAUCUCUGCAGUGGUAACAGGUCACACACAAACACAUGCAGCUCUUUCUCUGCCCCGCUUAGCUUGUAGGGAGAAACUGAACUCUGGGCAUACAAUGCUGAUGUCCACUCUCCACCAUUCUGUUUGAACAGAUGUGUUAGGGGUACAGAGACGUGCUCACCUCUUCGCAGCUAGGAACUUUGUUGUCGUUAUCUCUGAUUCUGUCCCACAGUAUGGACUCCUGUUUCCAGGCCAUGCUUUCCAAGAUCUGUUCUUCAAUAUGAUUAAGGUGUUUUACAACUUCCCGACAAAGGCCAUCUUCUGCUCUAAUGAAAACCUCAAUUACCUGUAAUGCAGAGAGCAAUGAAGUCCUUGUGGUACUGAAUAAACCAGUGACUGAGUAUAAUAUUCUUGUUUUCAUAUAUUUCUUCUUACAGUGAAAUUAGAUCCUAAAUGUUCAAGGAAGAGACUAGUACAAUUAUUAGACUGUGUCAGUAUGGUUCAAUUGUCUGGUGGGCUGCAAGUUUAUCUGAAGACAGGUACGUGUAUCUUGCCACAGCAGCAGUGAAUGCAGAACAGCUGCAGCAGCAGCUCAGGAUCCCUGGUCACUAGCUCAAGAUAAAUGACAAUCCUUAGUCACUUGCACACUGCUCCUAUGUGAAACUGAUUACCAGUAGUCUGAUCUUUAAACGCCCAAACCAGCUGUAAAAUACUUUCAAGACAAAAAGGGGCAAUGCUAAGAAUGAAGAGUUAAUACACAUUUAGGUAAGGAGAUUAUUUAAUAUAAGCCAAGAGUACACAGGACUUGAUAAACAUUUCUAGCUCUUACUUUACCUUAUAGAAGUGAUAAACUGGAAUGUCAAAUAUUUCAGUGAUGAAGGGAAAGCUUCCAGGUAACUUGUACGUGAAGGUGACAAUCUCAAGGCAGCACGCCAGCAGGGAGCGAUGAAACACAUCUUGCUCCAGUACUGCCUGCAAGAGAGUUGCCCAAUUUAAUGCUUCAUUUACAGUGUAACAAUAGAACUGCAUGAUGCUUUCUGUUCUGCCUCAACAGUGAGAUUAGAAGGUUUUUAACUAGACAUUUGCUUUUGUACAUGAUAGGACAGAAUCCAAAUUAAGACAUCCUUAUUCUUUGUAAAUUUUAUAUAUCCUUUUUGUUCGCAAAGGUGAAUAAUUUCUUGGACAGCUUUUCUUCCAUUCAGGAAUGCCUUCCGACUACUCAAGAGAUUUACUCAUCUAAAAUAGCAUUAUCCUGUCCUAUAAAUAUUUUCUUUGUUGCAGAUCCAACUUUAAACACAAGGUGCAAUUGGAGGAGUUGUCCUUACAGAUAAGUCUGCAUCUCCCAGUCUCCUCCUCUCUUGCUCAAUGACCAACUCCAAAACCUUGUAGUAGAGUACCUCAGCACGACGAAAAUGCUUGCUGGCCACAUCUGCAGGAAUUUUCAACAGAAAUAAUAUUGUGAAUUGUGAUAAAAGAAUCAUUAUUUAUCUUAAUCUACAGAGUUAAAACAACAGCUUAUUGCAUGGAUUUCUGUGCAGCUGUGGCUACGCUGCUUUCAGGACUAAAUGGGACUCAUGUUCAAGGGUUAAUGUUAGCCAUGGAAUCUCUCUACUGCACUGAAACGUGAUUGCAGAGCACAGCAGCUUCGUACUGAACUCAGAACUUGGUAAAAAAAACACCAUGUGUAAGAACAACCCUUAUUACUGCUAAAAUAAAAAGUAUUUCAAGAUCAGAAAAUACAGUGUUUGGAAAAACCUCUGUGGGGAUCCAAGCACUCUGCAAGACAAAGUGAACAACUGUGUUGAUGAGCACAGAUACAAAGUACAAAGCACCUAUUCUUAAAAAAUUUUAAUUACUUUUUUUGACAGAAAUGCACACUUAGAUUUGAGAGAAGAAAAACAGUUCUGAGAGCUUUUCUUUCCUCCCUUUUGUAGAACAUAAGAAUAUCAAAUUCCAGUAAUUUAUGCCAAGUAUGAUUAUGAAAGUUUAUACAGGGUUGAAAGUUGCUCUAUCUGAAGACUAGCAGGAAAAGACAAGAAAUAGAAAAGACUCUUGUGCAAAAGCACAGUGUCUACAUAAGACAAAGGUUACUUAGAAGAGAUCAGUAUUUUUAAAUGCACAUAAAUUCCAAUUUAUGUAAGUAAAAUGUUUCCCACCUUUGGUCAAAUUACUGAAUUCUUCUUCAGACUGCAUGCUCUGGCAGUAUACUUCACACAUCUCUUUCACUCUGCUUGCAAUAGACUGUGAAGGAUCUCUGGAACAUGCCCUGAAAAUACAAGCUAUUUCAGUGUCCUACUUCUGCUAAGACAAAUACACACACAAAAGAAACCAACAACAAAAAGACCUACAAUACAAUUAAAGCAUGAAGCUGUGAAAUAUCUUUGAUAGAUAGCAACGCAAACACACCCACACAAGCCUUGCUGCACAUGCACUACAAGACAGCUACAGCAUAUUAUACUUUAGUGAGUGUCAACUCUUCUUAAGAGUUUAAUACUAAACACAUUCCAUGCAAUAUAACAAGUGCUUUGUAACAUACUGUACCUGAGCCAAAGACUUAUGUACACGGAGAAAAAGAAAUUAUUUUUGAUCUCCUACAGAAUAGAGUGAGUUGCCAGGUAGUGAAGCUGGCUAAUUAGUAAGAAACAUCUUGAAACAGUUGCAUUUGCAUUUUGCUGUUAGGGAAGCUCAGAAUGUUGGGUUGAGAACGCUGUGUGUUCUUACAGCUGUCAAUCUCUCAAGGAUUGUGUAGAAAUAAAGACAAGAGUCUCUGAA